CCCCUAUUGUGAGAAUACUUUGCGUCUACACAUCUCUAUGUUAUAGCUAGCAAAGGUAUUAACAUCCUGAUUAUAUUUCUAUCAUUAGGGAUAAUUUGGGGUGAUAAAAAAUCAUUAAAGAAGAUAACCCAUGCAAAGUGCCUAUUUUGCUUGAUGCAAAAGUAGAAUAAGUAGGGUUGAUGGGCAAGGACAAAUAUGUGAGAACAUUAAUUCCUACCUCAAUUUUCAGAACGAGAGAAUUUUGAAGCUGAAGAGGAUCUUAAAAGAUCUGAAUUCCAUUCCCUCAUUUAGCAUUAAAGGAAACUGAGCCACAAUAGUACAGCUUAUCAAAUGUCCUCUAGAGACACAAGAUGACACAGGGCAUGGUCUGAGAUCCCCCGGUCCAAGUGGCCCUGGAACCCAAAGCAUUGCUGGUGAAGGAGGUCCACAUGUCAGUUCUGCUGGGAGCACCCAAGGGCAAAAUGAAAUGGGCCUUGUUCUUAAGCAUCUGUAAUGGCAAGGAUGAGGCCAAACUGGUGAACAAGUCUUCGGAGCCUGAUACUGAGCCCACAGAGAGAAGGACUGCCUUGGAGUGGUCGGAUUCCGAGACUCUGUGUCCCAUGUCCUAGCACAGGUAUGUUCUCCAUUCUCACUCCCAUUAGGUCUUGGGCCCACUCUUGCAUGGCAUGGGAGGUUUGGCUUCGUUGUUCUUUCUCCUUCCUCAUCCACAUCCUCACAUACUCUCUUCUCCUUCCCCUGGUAGGCACUUGACAUAAGGCAAUAUAUUGAGGUUCAAGCUUGCACUCAAUGAGGAGCAAAGAAACUCCAAAAACCUCCUAUUAAUGGUACUUUUCACAUGGCCAGCUAUGACCCUGAACUUACCUAUAGACACUUCAGGGGUCACGGAGGAGAGAAGAGUCAUUGGCAGUGCAGGAUCUACACAGAUGAGACACACACCUAGCUUGAAGCUGGAAGGAACCAUUAGAAGUCAAAUAGACGUAUCCCCUGCCUUAAGAUAACAAGGUAUAAGGAGCCCUGAUGAAGCCAUCACAGCCAAGUGGUCCAACAAUUGACUGAAAUUCACGCAGGAUCUCCAACCACAAAAGAAGCUACAUUACACAGCACGGUACCUCUGGAAAAUAACCUCUGGCUUUGAAUCCAAGAUGGAAGCUGAGAUCUUGGGUGCAUGAGGAAAUGAGAAGAGAAUGAUGGGGAAAAGCUACUGUCAUGAGCAUAUUACACCUUUUAAGCAGUGAGAAAUUCAUUUAAUAAAUCGAUUGAAGCCUGAAAUCUAAUUAAAUCUAAAAGAGGUAGCAACCUGAAAUGCAAAUAAGUUCACGCUUAAAUUGUAUACAAGGAAGCUCUGCUGUGCAUGCCUUUAAUAAUGCAUUACCUAAAGUGUUUUCUGUAUUCAUUAAAGCAGUGCAGCGACGUGCCAUGAAUUAUUUCUAUGCUCUACCUCGGAUACAAAUAUCUUCAUGCUGGCAAUCUGUUUAGCCACUUUCCCCUUCCCAGUCAAGGUGAAUGAAAUGUGGUUCUCAAGGGCUGUGAUAGUGGUUGUAAAAAGCAAAGUCAAAACUUAGUAAGGC